UUCCUGUGGUUGAGGUUUACAACGGCGGCAUUUCAGGCGCAUAGCUUGGAGAGAGGCCAAGCAGGAAC
rnacentral:tRNA from 1 species